UAUAAUUUUUAAAAUGAGGCGUGCAAUGAUUUUUUUGGUGCACAUAAAUUAAAAAUCCAUGUAAAUAAUGCAAGGGCACUAAAGUAAAGCUUUACAAAUAAAGAUAUUAAUAAUAAAGCUAGGACUCCCUCUUUAAUUCACUCUAUUACAUUUAGCUUUUCCAGUAGCUCAUAUAUUGCACCACCACUAUUUUAAUGUCUGAACAAAAAAUUAUAUUCAGCCUUAUUACAAAUGACAACUGUUUCUGUGGGUUUAAGACAGCUUUAUAUGUUGUUUGAACGGAGUUUAUGGAGGUUAAAUGUAAGACAACAGUGAAGCAUAACUUUCCCCAGGAAAUUAACUACCAAAGUCAUCUUUCCUUUUCAAAUUUAAGAAUAGCAAAAUCACAUCAUUAAAAUAUACAGAACCUACUACCCUAUUUACAGAUAAGCCACUGUUAAAAAAAGAAGGCAUACAUCAAACACUUAUCUUUAAUUAACAAUCCAAUUAUUUGAACCUCAAUUUAAAGAUGGUUUCCAAACUAGAUUAAUUAUAGAAAUCAAGUAAUAUUAGGCUUCACAUAUUGAAAUUUAUGUUUUAUUACAGCCUAAAUAAUUAACAUUCAAACAGACCAAUCUUUAUUAAAUUUAUACAUUGAUGCCAUCAGGCCACCACCAAAUGAAUUCUCUCUUCCAAUAAAGUUAUCAGACUAAUACACCACUGAUAACUGAACUAGUCCUACAGUCAAUCUGUUAAAGAUUAGUUGUUUAAAAUAAACUGGCAGAUCAAACACACAAUCUACAUUUUAUCAAAAUUUACCCUACGCUCCACCCCAAAUAUUGUAAUGGAGGGAGGGAUGAUAGGAUAGCUAGCAUAUGUAUGCAGAGUUGUUGUAGCCCUGUUGGUCUCAGAUGUUAGAGACACACACAAGGUGGGUGAGGUCAUAUCUUUUAUUGGACCAACUUCUGUUGGUGAGAAAGCAGCUUUCAAGCUUGAACAGACCUGAAGUUGGUCUAACAAAAGACAUUACCUCACCCUCCUUGUGUCUGGGAUAAUAAUGAUUAACAUAAGUAAACAAUGCGAACAAGCACUGCUCAAAAUAAGAUGUUAAAAUCACAAGCUUGACCAAACCAGCCAGUAAAGUGAUUUUAACAAUCAACAGUUGCUUGAGGUUAAUUUGUAAUCUGUUUUACUCAUGUCUCCAGGCCCUUACCUACUAUCACUUGGGUUUAUAACUUUAAUAUUUCUCAAAAAUAGUGAUGUUGAUCAUAGCUAAAUAGCAAGUGUUUACAGCAAGAAAAAAAAGGGGGCACUAAAACACAUGUAAACAGAGUGAUAUGUAUCAGUGUAUUUUAAAACUGAGCAACCCCUGUGAUCAGGCCUCUCAGAAGUUAAAAAGGGAAUGUAUAGUAUUUGUAUCAUGAUCUACAUUUCACUCCAUCACAGUAAGAUCUGCCUCUAAACUGUAUAUACCUCAAUAGCUAAAUGGCGUUUAUUAAAUGUAAACCUUUCCAAACUUGCUUCUAGUCACAGCUUUACACACUGUGUUUAUUAAACACCCCAGCACCUCCACACCAAAUGUAUUUGAUUAAGUUGGCUUAUUUAUUAAGCACUGCCUACGUACACAACAUUACAAAGCACGGAAGAGAUACUGGGCCUGCCCCCGACAGCUUAGUUGGAACCGGUUCCAGGAGAUGCCCGAGGCCUGCUGCACAGGAGGUGAAAGAUGCUUUGUACCGGAUUCGGCUGGGGUGGGGUAGAGUGGAGGCCCCCCCCGGGCUGCAAGCGUGCGGGGCCCGAGCCCCCCGCCUUAGGUAACUUCCACUUGUGAUGCGGAAACUUUGGAAGGAGCCAAGAGCCAAGUCUCAAGCGGAGACACCGGGGAGCUCGCCGGGCCAAGACACCGUUUCAAAGCCGGGACGGACGCGUGUCAGGGCCGGGUUCCCCUCCGCCAGCCCGGUCUGAAAACGGCGACACAAGACUGCUGCCCAGCCGAGGACCCCCAUACAAUGGAGUUAAUGUCACAUUUUAAAGAAAUACAAACAUGUUAAGGGAUAGACAUGCACAGUAAGGUGGCACAUCCAUGGCUUUAAGAAGCCACGCAAGUCGAUGCCACCAAUUCCCUCCUACACAGGAGCACGGAGCCAGCAGCAGAGGGAAUGGAGAGCUGGUAUUGGAAUCCAGAUAGGGACCACACGUUUUGAAGAAGCUCCAGUUGGGGUGACUCACAAGAAAUACUUCAGGAGGUGGGCUUGGAGUUCAACACUGUUCUUCAGAACCUGUCAUCAUCUCAAGCCUUUUGAGUGACAGCAUAGUGGGAUGCAAAGGUAUGCACCAAUGACCAAGUUGCUGCCCUGCAGAUGUCUUGGAUUGGGACUUGUGCGAGGAAUGCCACUGAAGAAGCUUGAGCUCUUGUGGAGUGAGUGGUUAGGAUGGCUGGAGAUGUAACACUGGCCUGCUCGUCGUAAGCCCGAAUACAUUUGGUUAUCCAGGAUGCCUCUGGGGCUGAUCCUGGAAGCCCUUUCAUCCUUUCUACUACUGCUACAAAGAGUUGCCUAGAUUUGCAGAAGGAUGUAGUCCUCUCAAUAUAGAAGGCUAUGGGCAUGUCUAACAUCCAAUGAGUGAAGCCGCUGAUCCUCAGAGUUCUUCUAAGGCUUUGGGAAGAAGACAGGCAGGAAAACAGCCUGGAUGGUAUGGAACUGUGAAACCACCUUUGGCAGGAAAGCCAGGUGGGGGCACAGUUGGACCUUGUCCUUGAAGAUCAUCGUGUAAGGUGGUUCUGACGUAAGGACUCUGAUUUCAGAGAUCCUUCUGGCUAAGGCAACCUUCCAAGAGAGAAGUAGUAGACAGCACAAUACUCGGUGGUUUGAAAGGAGGGCCUACGAGCCUUGACAGAAUCAGGUUUAAGUCCCAAGGAGGGAUCAAUUUGUGAACCUGAAGGUAAAGUCUCUCCAGUCCCUUGAGAAACCAGAUAGUCAUCUCAUUAGAGAACACUGACCUGCCGUUCAUUGGCAGGAAGAAAGCUGAGAUUGCUGCUAAGUGUAACCAUGAUAGAUGCCAGGGCCAGACUUUGCUGCUUCUGAUGGAUUAAGUAGUCCAAGACAGACUGAGGGGAAGAAUUAACCAGAGACCUUGUUGAGAUCCCCAUAGUAAGAAGCACUUCCAUGUGUCCAAGUAGGUAGCCCCAGGGGAAGGCUUCCUGCUACCUAGUAAGACCUGCUGAACUUCCUCUGAACAGGCCUGCUCCUCCGGCUUCAGCCAAGUAACACCCCUGCAGUUGGGUUAAGGAAUGCAAGGUUUGGGUGGAGUGGAAGCAGAAGACGGGAUGCUAUUGAUAGGUUCAGCAGCAUGCUGAACCAGUGCUGACAUGGCCAUGCUGGAGCUAGAAGAAUAACUCUUGCCUUAUUCUUCUUGAUUUUCAGGAGGACUGUGUUAAAUCAGAGGGAACAGGGGAAAAGCAUAGAUCAGGAGCCCUGUCCAUGGGAGCAAAAAGACAUCAGAGAGGGGGUCUAGCCUGUGCCCAGACAGCAAGCAAAACUGAGAGCACUUCCUGUCCUCUUUGGUCCCUUGGGGAGACUCCAACCUCUGGAAGAUGAACCUGGAGAUCUCCGGGAGAAGAGACCACUUGCGGUGAAAGGAGAAGGAUCUACUGAGGUGAUCUGCCACUGUACUCCAGGCUCCCGAAAGGUCUGAUGGAAUGCUUCAUGCAGAAGUCCCAUAGGCAGAUGGCCUCUGACACAGGGCAGAGGAUCAAGCUCCUCCCUGUUUGUUGAUAAUAGAACAUGACCAUGGUCUGUCAGAACUUGCACCACCUUGCCUAAGAUUUGAGGGAGGAACACCUGACCAGCUAAAUGUACAGCCCUGAGUUUCCUGCUGUUUGUGUGCAGGGAGAGUUCUUCCUGGGACCACAGGCCCUGAGUCCUUAGGCUGGAAAGCCCACCUCCACAAUUUCAGUCUGACGUGUCCGACACUAGGGAACCAAUGGCUCAGGGGCUCUAGAGGGUACCCCCAUCAUCAUUCAUCUUGGGUCUUUCCACCUGACCAGAGUGGCGAGGCCCAGGGGUGGAACAGCGAGCACCAAGCCCAGGUGGUGUCUGUUCAGGGAGUAAACUGAUGCCAGCCACAUCUGUAGAGGCCUUCCAUGCUGAACCACGUAAGUGCAUGCUGCCAUGUGCCCCAGCAGUUUGAAGCAAACUCAGGUUGUUGUAAUUGGGUGGACCAUGACCUUGGAUAUCAGAUUCAACUGUCUGGAAUCAGGCCUCCGGAAGGAAGGCUCUGGUUUGGGUAGAGUGAAGCACUGCCCCAAUAACCUCUAUUCUCUGAACUGGAAUAAAAGUUGACAUUUACUUGUUUAUCAACAGGCCCAGUGCUCGGAAGGUGGCUUAGACUACACUGAUGCUGUUCCAGAUGUGAGCCACUGACCGACCCCUGAUCAGCCAGCCAGUCAACAAUGUAUGGGUAGACCUGGAUGCCUCAUACCUGAGGAAGGCCACUACUAGUGCCAUAUACUUUGUGAAAACCUGUGAGGUUGUAGAUAGGCCAAAGGGGAGAGCGAUGAAGUGGUACUGCCAUUGGUUCACAAGAAAUCUUCUGUGGCCAUGGAAAAUAGAAAUGAGAAAGUAUGCAUCUUUUAAGUUGAGGAUACUGUACCAGUCCCUGGAUCCAGGGAGGUUAUAAUGAAGUCUCAGUGGUUUGAGCAUUGGCCUACUAAACUCAGGGUUGUGAGGUCAAUCCCUGAAAGGGCCACUUAGGUAAUGGGGAUGUCAUAAACAGAUAAGGGUUAA